rnacentral:rRNA from 1 species
UACGGGGGGGGGCAAGCGUUGUUCGGAAUUACUGGGCGUAAAGGGCGCGUAGGCGGUCAGAUAAGUCAGCUGUGAAAACCUCGGGCUUAACCCGAGGCCUGCAGUUGAAACUGUUUGGCUGGAGUGUGGGAGAGGAGAGUGGAAUUCCCCAAGUAGAGGUGAAAUUCGUAGAUAUGGGGAGGAACACCGGUGGCGAAGGCGGCCACCUGGACGGUCACUGACGCUGAGACGCGAAAGCGUGGGUAGCAAACAGG